AACCCUGGGCCGCCGAAGUAGAGCGCGUGAACUCAACCACUCGGCCACGGGGCGGCCCCCGGGCAUAAUUUUUGAUGUGUAAUAUUGACUCUCUGUGCCCACACCCCAGCUUUCCAUCUCCUCGCCCACCGCUGCAGAGCCUAACAGGCACCUGAGCUCUGUCCAGUGUGGGGGGAGCUCCAUCCAGUGGAGGGAGGAGGGCCAUCCUGGCAGCACCCGUGUCAGGAGGUGGGGAGGGCGCUGUCGGUUUGCACGCACAGCUCUUGAGCCCCGUGCCGCCGCAGGAGCACCUGCACACAUGGGCAGCUGACUCUGUCAUCACAUCAUCACCCGAGACGCCCUCCUAGAGAGGCAGCGGACGGCACCACGAGAGAAGAGAAGCAGCUCAAACAGGUGUCUGCUGCGGCCUAGGGCCAGGCGGAGGGAGCUCGAGAAGCCCGCAGCCCUGCCUUAGGGACCCCCAAGCUCUCCGCCUGUCUGCCAGCCGUGCCCUCCAAGGCUCCUCUCUCCAGCCCCCACCCCAAUCCUCCACCAGAGUCUCCGGAUGCACCAGCCUGACAUAGUCCUGCCCUGAUCCGGAGUUCUGUCACUGAGGACGCAGAGCUCUAGACCAGCCGCUGCUCCUGACUGUUUUAUCUCUCAUGUCCUCCUCUCCCUGUGCUGGGCCCGGGUCUCAUCGAUGCUCUCUCCAGUUCCAGGUUAACUGACUGUGUACGGGCUUUUAACGUUUAGGGAGACUUCUCACCUUUUUGAUUCUCAUGACAGAUAGGUAGUAUUAUUCUUGUGCUCAUUUUACUGAUGAGGAAAAUGAGAUCAGAGAGGUCAAGCAACCUAGAUGAAGUCACACAGCUUCACACACGGCCAAGCUGGGAUGAGAACGCGUGGGAGCAAAGAAGACCUAGGACCUUUUGAUGAUCCCACACCACCUCUGCAUAAUUAUCUGAGCACACACGGUUCCUUUUAGACAUGACCCAGCCACCCACACUUUCCUCUUCAGCUUACUGGGUAGAGGGGUGCCAGGCUUUUGGACACAGAAGAAAGGACGAAAAAAGACAGGAACAUUGGGCGGCAGGAGUGAGUGGGUCCAGAGGAGGCCACAGGAAGAAGUUCAGCAGGAAGGGUCUUCAUCAAUUAAACAUCGGGGUCCCAGCGCCACGUCUCCCCAGUGGCCUGCGUGGGUCCUCGGAAACUGGGAACCUCUCCUCCCGUCUCAUGACCGCCUGGGACGAGGGGAGGUGACUCACUCUAAACCUUGCCCCAGGAUUGGCGUCUGGCCUGGUAGCUCCAUCUGGGAGAGGCUCGGCCCAGCUUGGAGGACCCGGGCCCUCGGGAGGACCAGGAAGCAUUCGGGAGCCGGGCGCAGGGGGCAGUGCUGCUCCCUCCCUGCGGGGUACCCUCCACCGCCCAAGGACGCAGCUGCAGCUGCCCCGCUCCACCCGCCCUGAGAGAGUCCGGCUGGAACGGGCUAGAUACAAACUGGCCCUGGAACCAGUGGGCUGGGAUGGGAACGCUCUCGCCAGCUCUGAGCCACCCUGGGGGAGGAGGGAGCCCUGGACCCACACUGGGCGGCUACGCAGGACUGUGCUCAAGGAAGGAUGGGAAUGAGGGGGAUAGGCGAGAAAAGGGACAGAGACGAAAAGGACUGUCUUCUGUUUGCUACAAUAUUUACUCAAUCUUAUUAUAAACUUGUUUAGCGGUCAUUAAUUGCUAGACUCAAUCUAUAGAAAAGGCAUUGGAUGUCACCUUACUUACCAAAUAGAAUGUAAUAAUUUUAAAACGGAAAUAAGAUGGUGUCACUCCUUGGCUUCCAGCCCCAGAGCCUUCCCAUCUCUCUAAGGAAAGCCCCAGUCAGGGAGGCAGCCUGUGGUCCUGCGAGGCCUUCCUUCCCUCACUGCCUGUCCACUCUCCUUGCUUCCUCAGGGCCUUUGCACCUGCUGUGCCCUCUGCCUGGACCUCCCCGCAGAGCAUCACUGGCUCGUGUCCUCGCCUCACUUCGCUUGUUGUUCCGAUGCCACAUUCUCAGGGAUCUCUUCCCCCACCGCUCUGCUUAAGACUGCAACCCUCGCUCCACAGGUGCACACACACGUGCAGACACACUCACACUCACAGAUACACACAUAUAGACACACACGUCACACUCAGAUACAGUCACACAGAUACACACAGACACAGUCACACUCACGCAGAGACACACACCGUACCCCCUUCCCUGCUCGACUGUCUCUCGGGCCCACGUCAGCGUCUGCAGCUCUCUCUUGUGCUGAUUUCCCUCUGUCUCCUCCUCCGCCUGGAGGCUCUGCGGGGGAGUGCCUGGAGGCUCUGCGGGGGAGUUCUCUGUUCCCCUCCCGGGCUCAGCACCUGGAAUGCGGCCCGUGCACAGCAGGACUCAGGAACUAGAGGCCAAAGGAGUGAAAGAAAUGGCAGCGCGACUGACAAAGACGGGGAGGUGGAAACGAUGGCGCGUCUAAGGGAUGCAGAGGGUCUAAGAGCUGUAUUUACGGGAAGAAGGACGUGAUGCCUUCACGGGGCCCCUAAAGCGUUCCGCCCACGAGCCACACAAAUCACUUCUCAUCUCAACUUAGAGGCCAGAGCAAGCCACACGGCCACGCCUAACUCCAAGGAGGAGGAGAAAGAUGAGCGGUUGACACCCAGAGGGGAGGAGGCUAAGCCCAAAGUCACACAGCUGGUUCCAGUCCUGGCUCCGCCACUUGCCAGUGGCUUUGAAUAAGUCACUGAGAAAUUCACCAAGCCUCAGCUUCCUCCUCUGUGAUAAAGAGAUCAGGUAACCAAUCGCAGUGCUGACAUAGGAAUCAAACAAGGAACAUCGAGACCAGGCCAGCACACCGUACUUGCUCAACACGUGCCAGCUAUCGCUGUGGUCCUAACACACUGUUCUAGACGCUCCUGCUUCCUCCUGGAGCACGGCAGUGUCUUCUGGAGAAGAGAGUCAGGUUCACAGCUGGAGAGGAAUUGGGCUCAGGACGAAUUCUUCUUUGAGUCUCACCCAUGUGUGACGUAGACGCCAUUGAGAGACUCCAGGGGGUUCCCUCGUCCCUUCUGCCAUAUGAGGACACAGUGAGAAGAUGGCCAGCUGUGAACCAGGAAGCCCAUCUGUCAGCACCUGGAUCUUGGACUUCCCAGCUUCCAGAACCGGAGAAGUAAAUUUCUGCUUAGAAGUCCCCCAGUCUAUGGCAUUCUGUUACAGCAGCCCGGACUGGCUGGGACGGCGCCCUGAUGGCGCAGUGGGCUGAGCGAGGCCCCUCCACUCCAUCCCUCCUGGGAGCCUUCUGGAUUUGACACGACGCCUGCCACAUCACGGCUUGCCAAGCGGUGCCAUGUCCCCCCCGGGAUCCGAACCGGCAAACCCCAGGCUGCGGAGAAGCGGAACGUGCGCACUU